UACGUAGGUGGCAAGCGUUGUCCGGAUUUACUGGGCGUAAAGCGCGCGCAGGCGGUUCUUCAAGUCAGAGGUGAAAGCCCAGAGCUCAACUCUGGAAUGGCCUUUGAGACUAGAGAACUAGGGUACGGGAGAGGUGAGUGGAAUUCCGAGUGUAGAGGUGAAAUUCGUAGAUAUUCGGAAGAACACCAGUGGCGAAGGCGGCUCACUGGCCCGUUACCGACGCUCAGGCGCGACAGCGUGGGGAGCAAACAGG
rnacentral:rRNA from 1 species